rnacentral:rRNA from 1 species
UACGUAGGGUGCGAGCGUUAAUCGGAAUUACUGGGCGUAAAGCGUGCGUAGGUGGUUGUUUAAGUCUGUUGUGAAAGCCCUGGGCUCAACCUGGGAACUGCAGUGGAAACUGGACAACUAGAGUGUGGUAGAGGGUAGCGGAAUUCCCGGUGUAGCAGUGAAAUGCGUAGAGAUCGGGAGGAACAUCCAUGGCGAAGGCAGCUCGCUGGGACGGUACUGACGCUGAGACGCGAAAGCGUGGGGAGCAAACAGG